rnacentral:rRNA from 1 species
UACGUAGGGGGCUAGCGUUGUCCGGAUUUAUUGGGCGUAAAGAGCGUGUAGGCGGGAAGGCAAGUCAGAUGUGAAAUCCCUGGGCUCAACCCAGGAACUGCAUUUGAAACUCCCUUUCUUGAGUACCGGAGAGGAAAGUGGAAUUCCUGGUGUAGAGGUGAAAUUCGUAGAUAUCAGGAGGAACACCGGUGGCGAAGGCGGCUUUCUGGACGGUAACUGACGCUGAGACGCGAAAGCGUGGGGAGCAAACAGG